CAAUGGCGAAGUUUCGUUGUACCACCAACAAGCACCGGCUAAGGCAUAGGUGUACAUAAGGCCCUUCCCAAACUGUUUCCAGAACAAGUCUGAUGGCCAGGGCUCCUUCGUCGCCUCUGGCCUUGAUUUCUCUGUAUUGGGCUUUGAUGCCAUUUAUGCCUUUCAAUGAAGAUUCAUAAUAUUUUAACAAAAAGAGAAAAUUCACAAGGUAUUAAACUCAAAAUUUAAUAAUAUAUUAUUAAUUCAUAUACUAUACAUAUUAUUUAUAUAAUAUAUAAAACAUUACCUGUGUUGGAAAGGCGGCCAGAGCUGUGGAAGAUCGGCGAGGCGGAGCUGUGUUGUGGGAAGAUGGGACAGAUCAGACCGAUAGAGGGAAAAAGAGAGCUAGGCUGGAUUUGAGAGAGAUCGAUGGACGGGGCUCGCUAGGGCCGGUGGCUGAGGAGUCGACUUUGCUGAGAGAAAUUAGGCGUCUGUGUUUUAUGUUUUAGGGUUAGACCCGCCCUUUACCCGGCAAACCCGUACCCGCCUUCCCAUUAACUGAAGAGAGAGAAGAAGUAACAGAAAGUAAAAUGAAGGAAAUAGCUCUAUAGAACCCGUUUGGUUGACGUUUUGCUUCUACAGUACUUUUCUUUUUUUAAGAUCAUCAUUUAUGAAGUUGUUUGAUCUGAAAGCUUUCCUAUAUGUGUAUAUUAUAUAUAUAUAUAUGUAUGCAGAUGUAUCACAACAACUCCAAGGGAUCAUGAAGAACAUGCUUAGGUCAAGUACAAUGUGUUGUGUGUUCAUAAAAAUGUCUGUAUUUUAUUUGUCAGUGUUAUUACUUUCAUUCCUGUU